GACGAACGCUGGCGGCGUGCCUAAUACAUGCAAGUAGAACGCAGUUUCGAACGGGUGAGUAACGCGUAGGUAACUGCCUCAUAGCGGGGGAUAACUCUUGGAAACGAUAGCUAAUACCGCAUACUGUGAGAUGGACCUGCGUUGUAUUAUCUAGUUGGUGGGGUAAAGGGUCACCAAGGCGACGAUACAUAGCCGCCCUGAGAGAGGGAACGGCAAAGCGGGAACUGGACAACGGCCCAGACUCCUACGGGAGGCGGCAGUGGGGAAUCGUCGGCAAUGGACGGAAGUCUGACCGGGCAACGCCGCGUGGGUGAAGAAGGUUUUCGGAUCGUAAAACUCUGUUGUUAGAGAAGCGGUAUCUAACCAGAAAGCCACGGCUAACUACGUGCCAGCAGCCGCGGUAAUUC
rnacentral:rRNA from 1 species